rnacentral:rRNA from 1 species
CCUACGGGCGGCAGCAGUCGAGAAUCUUUCACAAUGGGGGAAACCCUGAUGGUGCGACGCCGCGUGGGGGAAUGAAGGUCUUCGGAUUGUAAACCCCUGUUAUGUGGGAGCAAAUUAAAAAGAUAGUACCACAAGAGGAAUAGACGGCUAACUCGGUUCCAGAAGCCGCGGUAAUACAGAGGCCUCAAGCGUUGUUCGGAAUCACUGGGCGUAAAGCGUGCGUAGGCUGUUUGGUAAGUCGUGUGUGAAAGGUGCGGGCUCAACCCGCGGACGGCACAUGAUACUGCGAGACUAGAGUAAUGGAGGGGGAACCGGAAUGCUGGGUGUAGCAGUGAAAUGCGUAGAUAUCGAGAGGAACACUCGUGGCGAAGGCGGGUUCCUGGACAUUAACUGACGCUGAGGCACGAAGGCGAGGGGAGCGAAAAGGAUUAGAUACCCUAGUAGUC